rnacentral:rRNA from 1 species
AACGAACGCUGGCGGCAGGCUUAACACAUGCAAGUCGAACGCCCCGCAAGGGGAGUGGCAGACGGGUGAGUAACGCGUGGGAAUCUACCCAGAUCUACGGAACAACAGUUGGAAACGACUGCUAAUACCGUAUACGCCCUACGGGGGAAAGAUUUAUCGGAUUUGGAUGAGCCCGCGUAAGAUUAGCUAGUUGGUGAGGUAAUGGCUCACCAAGGCGACGAUCUUUAGCUGGUCUGAGAGGAUGAUCAGCCACACUGGGACUGAGACACGGCCCAGACUCCUACGGGAGGCAGCAGUGGGGAAUAUUGGACAAUGGGCGCAAGCCUGAUCCAGCCAUGCCGCGUGAGUGAUGAAGGCCUUAGGGUUGUAAAGCUCUUUCACCGAUGAAGAUAAUGACGGUAGUCGGAGAAGAAGCCCCGGCUAACUUCGUGCCAGCCGCCGCAGUAACAC